rnacentral:lncRNA from 1 species
UGUGGAUGUACCACAGUUUAUCCAUUUACCUACUAAAGAACAUUUUGGUUGCUUCCAAGUUUUGGCAAUUAGGAAUAAAGCCACUAUAAACAUGUGUGUGCACAGCCUGAAUUUGUAAGUUUAUUUCAGUUUUCCCUCAACACAACCACAAGAUUUGGUUCCACAAUACAAGCACAAGAUUUAAAAAAGAUUAAAAUAAAGAGUAGAAGAAAACAAACAAAUGAAAAAAGGACACAUCUUUUGGAUGUAGACAAAGAAGACCUAGUCUAUCCACUCACCGUAUAUCUCCACAUCCUGGGAAGAAUUUCCAAGGCCAGGCACUCUGGAUACCCUCCCCCCUCAUGGUUUAAACCUUCUUCUUCUCUAGAUAGACAUAGUUGAUGACAGAUGAGGUGUUUCAAUGGCUCCUCCUGCCUAAUGGCUUUACUGGGCAUGCCCCCAGCAUUACUCUCCCAGGAGAACAGAAGAAACGGUAAUGUCUUAAAGGGACUCCAUCAUUCAACUCCUCUCAACCCCAGAGCCAUGUGUUACUCUUUGGGGAACUUCAGGAUAGCUGUCUGAAAACAGUCCAGGGAGGCUAAAGUGGAGGAUCACUUGAACCCAGGAGUUCGAGAUCAGCUAGGGCAACAUAGUGAGACCUGAUCUCCACAAAAAGUAAAUUAGGCUGGGCUCAGUAGCUCACAUGUGUAAUCCCAACACUUUGGGAGACUGAGGUGAGAGGAUCGCUUGAGCCUGGAAGUCGAGGCUGCAGUAAGCGAUGAUCACACACUGCACUCCAGCCUGGGCAACAGAGUGAGACCCUGUUCCUCCUCUCCCACUCCCCCCAAAAAGAAAAGAAACAUACUCCAGUG